GGCAGCCAGGAGAGCAUCAAUCUACUGAAGCACCCCUGUGCAGCCAUGCUCUGGACCUAACCACUCUUCUUCCUCACUGUCUUUUGUAUAGGGGUCUCUCCAGAUAUAAUUUUGGAACCAGACACCAAAACUCUGACUGUUCAGGUUGGGAAGCCUACCACCUCCUGCUGCAGAGUAACAGGAGGGGACUUGAAGAACUACUGAAUGAGCUGGUAUAGGAAGAAUGAAGAUAACUGCCUAAUCCUAGUAUACAAACCAAACAAUUCUACUGACAAGGUGUUGAAUGUUUUACAUCUUGUCAUAGCUACAGAGGAGUCCUGAGGAACCAUGGAGGUCAGCAUAGAGGGGUGGCCAGAAGCUGGCCACUGAACUCUGCUCCCUGUGUCCUCCAUUGCAGAGC
ensembl:lncRNA